UAUAUUGCAAUUUUUAAUCUUUCUGUUUAUCUUCCGUUUUAAGUCCGAAUAGUUUCAUGUUCUCUCACUGAGUCACACACAAUGGCGCAUCUCUUUAGAGACCUUUCACUCGGCCACUCAAAGAGAGAGUCAACGCCCCCGCCACCGCCACUUCAAACUAAACCACCACCAAUGCCGACGAACAAGCUUACCUCCCCCGAUCUCCAAUCUCCACUCGGCCAACUCGCCUCUCAACUCACCGAUUCCGACCUUCGACUCACCGCUUACGACGUCUUCCUCGCCGUAUGCCGUACCUCAGCUUCCAAACCUCUCUCCACUUCCGCCUCUUCCAUUUCCGAUUCGUCGAGUCAGAACUCGCCUGGUCAAAACCACAACCACUCGCCUAGCUCCCCCGCGUUGCAACGCUCGCUUACGUCAGCAGCUGCUAGUAAGAUGAAGAAGGCUUUAGGUUUGAAAUCACCUGGAUCGAAGAAGAGUCCCGGUUCAGCUCCAAGCUCGGGCCAGGGAAAGUCUAAGCGGCCGACGACUGUAGGGGAGCUUAUGAGGAUUCAAAUGCGGGUACCUGAGAGCGUUGAUGCGCGUGUUAGAAGGGCGCUUUUGAGAAUUGGCGGUGGUCUGGUUGGAAGGCGGAUUGAAUCAGUGGUUCUUCCAUUGGAGCUACUGCAGCAGCUUAAGCAAUCAGAUUUUAGUGAUCAACAAGAAUAUGAUGCAUGGCAGAAAAGAAACCUCAGGGUUCUUGAGGCUGGGUUACUGUUGCAUCCUCGUGUGCCACUCGAUAAGUCGAAUAAUGCAUCACAAAGGCUACGGCAAAUCAUUCAUGCAGCUCUAGAUAGGCCAAUAGAAACUGGGAAGAACAAUGAGUCAAUGCAAGUUCUUCGCAGUGCUGUAAUGUCUCUUGCCUCUAGAUCUGAUGGGUCUCUCUCUGAUUCAUGCCACUGGGCUGAUGGCAUUCCACUGAAUCUUAGACUCUAUGAAAUGCUUCUCGAGAUGUGUUUUGAUAUUAAUGAUGAAACAUCCAUUGUUGAGGAAGUUGAUGAGCUUAUGGAACAGAUAAAGAAGACGUGGGUGAUCCUUGGGAUUAAUCAAAUGCUGCAUAAUCUCUGCUUUGCAUGGGUUCUGUUUCACCAUUUUGUUUCCACUGGGCAAGUCGAAAUGGACUUGCUAUAUGCUGCUGAUGGUCAGCUAGCAGAGGUAGCAAAAGAUGCCAAGACAACCAGGGAUCCAGAAUACUCCAAGAUAUUAAGUUCUACCUUGAGUUCAAUAUUGGGCUGGGCAGAGAAAAGACUCCUUGCAUACCAUGACACUUUUGAUAGUGGCAAUGUCUAUACCAUGCAGGGCAUUGUUUCUUUAGGUGUAUCAGCGGCCAAGAUUUUGGUUGAGGAUGUAUCUACUGAGUAUCGCAGGAAGAGGAAAGAAGUUGAUGUAGCCCGAAAUAGAAUUGACACUUACAUCAGGUCAUCGUUACGCACUGCUUUUGCUCAGAGAAUGGAGAAGGCAGACUCAAGCAGGAGAGCUUCCAAAAACCAGCCAAAUCCUCUUCCUGUCCUUGCAAUCCUUGCUAAGGAUGUUGGUGAGUUAGCAGUUCAUGAGAAGCAGGUUUUCAGUCCAAUACUGAAGGGUUGGCAUCCUUUGGCAGCAGGUGUGGCUGUGGCCACCCUUCAUUCUUGUUAUGCUAAUGAGAUAAAACAGUUCAUAUCAGGCAUCACAGAGUUAACCCCUGAUGCUGUUCAAGUACUUAGAGCUGCAGAUAAACUGGAGAAAGAUCUUGUGCAGAUUGCAGUCGAGGAUGCAGUAGACAGUGAUGAUGGUGGGAAGGCAAUAAUCCGAGAGAUGCCUCCUUAUGAAGCUGAAACUGCAAUUGCCAAUCUUGUUAAAGGGUGGAUCAAGACUAGAUUAGACAGACUUAAGGAAUGGGUUGACAGGAAUUUGCAACAAGAGGUCUGGAAUCCACAAGCUAAUCAAGAAGGAUUUGCACUCUCUGCUGUCGAAACUUUGAGAAUCAUUGAUGAGACUUUAGAUGCAUUUUUCCAGCUUCCAAUACCAGCACAUCCUGCAUUGCUACCUGAUGUGAUAGUUGGCCUUGACAAGUGUCUUCAAUAUUAUGUGAUCAAGGCAAAAUCUGGAUGUGCUUCACGCAAUACAUAUAUCCCAACAAUGCCUGCUUUGACCAGAUGUGAGAUUGGAUCAAAGUUCCAAGGUGUCUGGAAGAAGAAAGAAAAGUCACAAAAUACUCAGAAAAGAAAUUCCCAGGUUGCAACAAUGAAUGGAGAUAAGUCAUUUGGGAUACCACAGCUGUGUGUUCGUAUAAAUACUCUGCACCACAUCCGAUCUGAGAUGGACGUUUUAGAGAAGAGGAUUGUAACCCACUUAAGGAACUGUGAGUCUGCUCAUUUGGAAGAUUUUUCAAAUGGCUUGAGCAAAAGAUUUGAGCUAACACCAGCUGCUUGUGUGGAAGGGGUUCAGCAACUGUCUGAGGCAGUAGCUUACAAAAUUGUAUUCCAUGACCUAAGUCAUGUUUUAUGGGAUGGUUUGUAUGUAGGGGAGCCUUCAUCUUCUAGGAUCGACCCUUUAUUACAAGAGCUGGAGCAGAACUUACUGGUAAUCUCAGAAACCGUGCAUGACAGAGUUCGUACAAGGAUUAUAACUGAUAUCAUGAAAGCGUCCUGUGAUGGAUUCUUGCUGGUUUUACUAGCUGGAGGCCCUUCUCGUGCUUUCUCUCGUCAGGAUUCUCAAAUUAUAGAGGACGAUUUCAAAGCCCUUAAAGAUCUGUUUUGGGCCAAUGGUGAUGGUUUGCCUGCUGACCUCAUAGAUAAGUUUUCAGCUACAGUGAGAGAUUUCCUUCCCCUAUUCAGAACCGAUACAGAGAGCCUAAUUGAGCGGUUCAAACGUAUGACCUUGGAGGCAUAUGGCUCCUCCGCAAGGUCUAGGCUUCCACUACCUCCAACAUCAGGACAGUGGAAUCCUACUGAACCAAACACGCUCCUGCGGGUGUUGUGUUACCGGAAUGAUGAGGCAGCUUCAAGGUUCCUUAAGAAGACUUACAAUCUACCUAAGAAACUGAAAUAACCUGGGUUUGGUGUAUAGCGAACCAAGGCUGCAUCCUAUGGAAAAUUUGAGCUUGCAAUAUUCAUGUGAUUAUAUAUAUUUUGUGAGAUGGCCUAGACAAGAUGUGUAGCAUGUCAUUGCCAGUUAACUGCUAGGACCUAAAGACGUGGCGUUAAUCAUGUAUAGCAUACAGCGGUAAUAUUCGGGUGAAAUCCAACUGCUCUUUACUAUGCUUCAGAGUCCGAACAGACUUUCAAUGGCUUGCCUAUGAGCAUAGCUCUUCCAAGCUCAUCCGCAUUCAAAUACGGAUUCGACUGUAUGGACAAAACUGCAUUUGGACCAUUUAUUCCAAUGUUUUACAUAGAUUGCCUUUGAACGAUGCUAUUCAUUUGGGGGGUAUUUUUUCUCCGAGUGAACAAAAUGACUUAUAAGCAGGUUUGCCCCCGGCAGUUUUUGUCACAAGUUGGUAUUGUCCUCUUUGAGCACUCCACAGGUCUCCCAAAGCCUUUUCACCGGAAGGUGCAGCUCAGGCAGACCAUCCAGCUACACAAAGGCCACCUGGUUCAGCUGUUACAACUUGGCCGUUGGAUUCGCGGAAGUUCAGACACAGGUUAUAUAUUGUUGAGAGAUUCAUUGGUCUAGGAUAGCACAUCCCAGAGAAGAGCUACUUUAACUCAGCUUCAAUGAACCUAUUUUUCACAAGUCCAAUGGCGCCAUUGUUCCCAAGUUUUUAAACACUUUGGUCAAAUAAAUUAUCCACGAUUUACC